CAUACAUAUAUACAUCCAUAGGAUAUUGGAGCACUCUGUCAAUUAGAACGACGAGGGUCCCAGCUGGUAUGAUCAACAGAAUAGCUUGCUCAUGAAAUUAACAUGCAAGUGGCUGAGCACUCCACAAACAUAUGUACCCUUAACAUAGUUCUUAG